rnacentral:rRNA from 1 species
AGAGUUUGAUCCUGGCUCAGGAUGAACGCUGGCGGCGUGCCUAACACAUGCAAGUCGAACGUGAAGCAAGGGGCAAUCAUUUCGGUGAGCGCACCAUGUGGAAAGUGGCGGACGGGUGAGUAACGCGUAGGUGACCUGCCUCGUAGUGGGGGAUAACCAGUGGAAACGCUGGCUAAUACCGCAUGCAUCACUGGUUGUUGGAGGGCUAGUGAUAAAACUAAGGUGCUACGAGAGGGGCCUGCGACCGAUUAGCUAGUUGGUGAGGUAAAGGCUCACCAAGGCUGAGAUCGGUAGCUGUUCUGAGAGGAAGAUCAGCCACACGGGAACUGAGACACGGUCCCGACUCCUACGGGGGGCAGCAGUGAGGAAUAUUGCACAAUGGGGGGAACCCUGAUGCAGCAACGCCGCGUGAAGGAAGAAGGUCUUUGGAUUGUAAACUUCUUUUAAUGGGGAAGAGAAUGGACGGUACCCAUUGAAUAAGUCACGGCUAACUACGUGCCAGCAGCCGCGGUAACACGUAGGUGGCAAGCGUUAUCCGGAAUUAUUGGGCGUAAAGGGCGCGUAGGCGGCUAGUCAAGUUUGACGUGAAAGCUCCUGGCUUAACUGGGAGAGGUCGUUGGAAACUGAUUAGCUUGAGGCAAUGAGAGGGGUGCGGAAUUCCCGGUGUAGUGGUGGAAUGCGUAGAUAUCGGGGAGGAACACCAGUGGCGAAAGCGGCAUCCUAACAUUGGCCUGACGCUGAAGUGCGAAAGCGUGGGGAGCGAACGGGAUUAGAUACCCCGGUAGUCCACGCUGUAAACGAUGAACACUAGAUGUGGGUGGAGUCAAAUCUAUCUGUGUCGAAGCAAACGCGAUAAGUGUUCCGCCUGGGGAGUACGGCCGCAAGGCUAAAACUCAAAGGAAUUGACGGGGGCCCGCACAAGCAGCGGAGCGUGUGGUUUAAUUCGAUGCAACGCGAAGAACCUUACCUGGGCUUGACAUGUACGUAGUAGUGAAGCGAAAGCGGAACGACUCUUCGGAGAGCGUACACAGGUGCUGCAUGGCUGUCGUCAGCUCGUGUCGUGAGAUGUUGGGUUAAGUCUCGCAACGAGCGCAACCCCUGUUGUCAGUUGAAUUCUCUGGCAAGACUGCCUUCUAGAAAAGGAGGAAGGUGGGGAUGACGUCAAGUCAGCACGGCUCUUACGUCUUGGGCUACACACACGCUACAAUGGGUGGUACAACGGGUUGCCAAAGAGCGAUCUGGAGCUAAUCCCAUCAAAGCCACCCCCAGUUCGGAUUGGAGGCUGAAAUUCGCCUCCAUGAAGUUGGAGUUGCUAGUAACCGCAGGUCAGCAUACUGCGGUGAAUACGUUCUCGGGCCUUGUACACACCGCCCGUCACGUCAUGAAAGCUGAUAACACCUGAAGUCGAUGUGCUAACCCUUCGGGGAGGUAGUCGCCGAGGGUGGGAUUAGUGAUUGGGACGAAGUCGUAACAAGGUAACC